rnacentral:rRNA from 1 species
AACGAACGCUGGCGGCAUGCCUAACACAUGCAAGUCGAACGAAGGCUUCGGCCUUAGUGGCGCACGGGUGCGUAACGCGUGGGAACCUGCCCUUAGGUUCGGAAUAACAGUUAGAAAUGACUGCUAAUACCGGAUAAUGUCUUCGGACCAAAGAUUUAUCGCCUUUGGAUGGGCCCGCGUAAGAUUAGGUAGUUGGUGGGGUAAAGGCCUACCAAGCCGACGAUCUUUAGCUGGUCUGAGAGGAUGAUCAGCCACACUGGGACUGAGACACGGCCCAGACUCCUACGGGAGGCAGCAGUGGGGAAUAUUGGACAAUGGGCGAAAGCCUGAUCCAGCAAUGCCGCGUGAGUGAUGAAGGCCUUAGGGUUGUAAAGCCCUUUUACCAGGGAUGAUAAUGACAGUACCUGGAGAAUAAGCUCCGGCUAACUCCGUGCCAGCAGCCGCGGUAAAAC